CUGCCUUUGACCUUCACAAUCACCCCCUUAGGAGGGCGCUAUUUUUCUUUCGCUUUGCAGAUAAGGACACUGAGCCUCAAAGAGCAAAUGCUUCCAGAGGACCCCUUUCCAACUCCCCCUCCCCAGGCUCUGGCUGGCCUCUGUGCACAAUCAGAAAAAUAAAAGCCAGUCCUUAGCCUCAA